rnacentral:rRNA from 1 species
GAUGAACGCUAGCGGGAGGCUUAACACAUGCAAGUCGAACGGCAGCACGGAAGCUUGCUUCUGGUGGCGAGUGGCGAACGGGUGAGUAAAGCAUCGGAACGUGCCCUGAAGUGGGGGAUAACGUAGCGAAAGUUACGCUAAUACCGCAUAUUCUGUGAGCAGGAAAGCAGGGGAUCGCAAGACCUUGUGCUUUGGGAGCGGCCGAUGUCGGAUUAGCUAGUUGGUGGGUAAAGCUCACCAAGGCGACGAUCCGUAGCGGGUCUGAGAGGAUGAUCCGCCACACUGGGACUGAGACACGGCCCAGACUCCUACGGGAGGCAG